AAAAAAGCCUGUGCUUCAGUCAAUUCAUUGACCUGGAACUGUCCCAGUCUAAGACAAAUCAGGUGCUGUUGUGCAAGCCAUAUGAUUCAGUUAGUGGCGUUUCUUUGGGAAGGGAGACAAGGAGGAGAGAAGAAAUUGUGACUGCGUGCUGUUGAAGAGGACCAGAAGGAGAGCUGCCUCCCUGUUACGUCUUAUUUUAAGAAGUGUCUACAAAAUAAAAGGUCUCUUUAAAGCAACUUUCAUUUUCAAAGUCAUUCUGGUGAGACUUACAAGAAGGUGAGUGUCUUCUAUUUUCUUUCAA